GGCGACCGGCGCACGGGUGAGUAACACGUAUCCAACCUACCGGUUAUCCGGGAUAGCCUUUCGAAAGAAAGAUUAAUACCGGAUAGUAUAACGCAGAAGGCAUCUUCUUGUUAUUAAAGAAUUUCGAUAACCGAUGGGGAUGCGUUCCAUUAGUUUGUUGGCGGGGUAACGGCCCACCAAGACAUCGAUGGAUAGGGGUUCUGAGAGGAAGGUCCCCCACAUUGGAACUGAGACACGGUCCAAACUCCUACGGGAGGCAGCAGUGAGGAAUAUUGGUCAAUGGACGAGAGUCUGAACCAGCCAAGUAGCGUGAAGGAUGACUGCCCUAUGGGUUGUAAACUUCUUUUAUAUGGGAAUAAAGUGAGCCACGUGUGGCUUUUUGUAUGUACCAUACGAAUAAGGAUCGGCUAACUCCGUGCCAGCAGCCGCGGUAAUACGGAGGAUCCGAGCGUUAUCCGGAUUUAUUGGGUUUAAAGGGAGCGUAGGCGGACUAUUAAGUCAGCUGUGAAAGUUUGCGGCUCAACCGUAAAUUGCAGUUGAUACUGGUCGUCUUGAGUGCAGUAGAGGUAGGCGGAAUUCGUGGUGU
rnacentral:rRNA from 1 species